CAGACUUCAGAAAGUUCACAUGAGGAUCACUCAGCUGUGUUUUGGACACAUGUUUCCUUUAAUGGCAGCACUGCUCCUGCUUUUGUUGAGUGGAGUCAGAUGUGAAGAGCUCACUGCUCUAAAGCCUGAGGUCUGCGCUUCAGAAGGCUCCUCUGUCUCUCUGGGAUACUCUUAUGAGAAAGGAGCAUCUGGUGGUGAUGAGUUUUAUUGGUAUCGACAAUAUCCAGGGAAACCUCCAGAAUUCAUCUAUUCUCAUUUGGGAACAGGAAAAAAACUUAAAAGUGAAAUCCUGGGUCUUUCAGUCCAAAUAAGCAAAGACAGCAGACAUCUCCAUGUGCUGGUGUCGUCUGCUGCAGUGGGAGACUCUGCUGUGUACUACUGUGCUGUGAGGCCCACAGUGACAGCAAACCCACAGUCUCUGAACAAAAACCUGUGA